AAAGGAUAAACAUUAUGGAUUUCCAUUAUCUCAAGCAAAAACAAAGAGUUCAAAAUAUUAGUGGUAAGAAAUGUCAAAAACUUGUGAUAGCUAUGAUGAAGAGAUUUAUGACAAAUUCGCUCAUGGCCAAAUCUAAUAUGGCAGCUGGAAAAGGCAAAGGAUCUUUUUAGCCUAACUAAGCUAUACAACUUAAUAAAAGUUUGUGCAUCGACUUCUCACGAAUCAUACACAGAGUCGAUUGUCGAUGCAAUAAUUGCUGAUUCGUGAAAACGGGCAACUUUUGCUUGUCUUAAAGUGCCUUAUAUCCAUCGUUAUAAUAUUACUUUGUUUGUAAAUUGUUUUAAAAAAUAAAUUUUAAAAUAACUUUUAAAUAAA
rnacentral:lncRNA from 1 species